rnacentral:rRNA from 1 species
UGCUGCUUCGCUGACGAGUGGCGGACGGGUGAGUAAUGUCUGGGAAACUGCCUGAUGGAGGGGGAUAACUACUGGAAACGGUAGCUAAUACCGCAUAACGUCGCAAGACCAAAGAGGGGGACCCCCGGGCCUCUUGCCAUCGGAUGUGCCCAGAUGGGAUUAGCUUGUUGGUGGGGUAACGGCUCACCAAGGCGACGAUCCCUAGCUGGUCUGAGAGGAUGACCAGCCACACUGGAACUGAGACACGGUCCAGACUCCUACGGGAGGCAGCAGUGGGGAAUAUUGCACAAUGGGCGCAAGCCUGAUGCAGCCAUGCCGCGUGUAUGAAGAAGGCCUUCGGGUUGUAAAGUACUUUCAGCGGGGAGGAAGGGAGUAAAGUUAAUACCUUUGCUCAUUGACGUUACCCGCAGAAGAAGCACCGGCUAACUCCGUGCCAGCAGCCGCGGUAAUACGGAGGGUGCAAGCGUUAAUCGGAAUUACUGGGCGUAAAGCGCACGCAGGCGGUUUGUUAAGUCAGAUGUGAAAUCCCCGGGCUCAACCUGGGAACUGCAUCUGAUACUGGCAAGCUUGAGUCUCGUAGAGGGGGGUAGAAUUCCAGGUGUAGCGGUGAAAUGCGUAGAGAUCUGGAGGAAUACCGGUGGCGAAGGCGGCCCCCUGGACGAAGACUGACGCUCAGGUGCGAAAGCGUGGGGAGCAAACA